CGGGGUUCGGGGCCGGCAAGCCGCAGGGCCGACCCGAGGCCCGCAUAGCUGGCCAGUGUUCAGAGUGAGUUACCGGGACCCGUGAGCAAGACGUGUCUGGACGGUGCGGAGCUCCCUAUGUCCUUGCCUGUCACAAUGUCCCGCCGCAGAGUCCUGCUUCUGUCCCCAGAAAUGCAUAGCAGAGCUGACUGCCAGGCUGCUUAUUUGUGUCUGGAAGGCUUGUGUCCAAGGAUGCGUCUUGGCCCUUCUCAGAGGAUCGCGUCAACGGAAACACACACAGAUGGUGGGGGUCUGGGGGCUCGGGACGAAGGGCAGGACAGGAAUUCAUGCGGGCUGCAGGGAGACCCCACCCACGGAGCCCUGGGGGGACGACUCCACGUGACCCUUGCGCUCUCGGUUUGGGGCCCUGGAUCCCGCCACGGUUGUGAGUUCUUCCAGACCUGCCCAGGGCAAACUUGGGGGCUGCGGUCAGAUCCCGCCCGUGAGAACCUGGGAGAGGCUGGGUGUCCUUUAUCCCAUGGUCGGGCGGCCUAGUGCACUGGAGCUGGGGGGCCCGCCGCCCCAGCACCCAGGUGACCACAGACUCGGGCUCGUCCCCGCUGCUGUGCCCGUCACUGCUGUUGCAGGCCUCCCUCCGCCCAGAGGCUGUGGCUGAUGCUGUCCUCUGCCACCCUGUGACCACCGGCAACCUCCAGCUCCUUCCCUCCCGUGGGCUUCCCUUCUCCGCCGGGGACGUCUCCGCCCCCCAGCCUCUUCUCUGCCCCUUUCAGAAGGUCCAGGCUCCUUUUGCUCAACAAGGUGGUGACAGACACACCACCACCGUGGGGGUGGGCCACGCAUCCCUGGGCUCGGUGGGAGGCAGAUCAGGCGAGUGGACAGAGCCCAGUGGGCUGUGAGGUUGUCCUUAUCAGAGACACAGCGAGGGACGCAGCGUCUUUACUGGGCAAGGGGUCCCGUCCUUGCCAGCAUGAAACGCCGCCAUCGUCAUCUGUGAAACAGUCUCUCUGUCUCUGGCCUUUGGGUCCUGACCCGCGGACCUACCUGCCAGCGUCGGCCCGGGACACAGUUCACUCCUCCGGACGGCGCUGUAGCCAGGCCCUUCCGCGCGUCCCUUCAAACACGCCUGCCUGCACGGCCGUCCCCGUGACGUCAGAAGCGGUGACGUCUCCCAUCCCACAGGAAUCUUCCUGGGACUGCGCAGGGAGUCUGGGCACAGUCGGGAACAUUGCCACUGACGUGACACGGAGUUGCUCGGGAAUGGGUCUCUCGACUUAUUUAGAACUUUGGGGGAAGUUUUCUGGUUUUCUUCUCUGUCAGGUCUUCUCCUCCUGGGCUCAUUCCUGGGCUUUAUUGCCAGCGCAAAUGGUGUGCUUUCCCCCAUAAAUGUUACCUAUUGUUUUAAUAAAUUGUAUUAUUUUUCUAUA